UACGUAGGGUGCGAGCGUUAAUCGGAAUUACUGGGCGUAAAGCGUGCGUAGGCGGUUUGUCGCGUCUGCUGUGAAAACCUAAGGCUCAACCUUGGGCUUGCAGUGGGUACGGGCAGACUAGAGUGCGGUAGGGGUGACUGGAAUUCCUGGUGUAGCGGUGGAAUGCGCAGAUAUCAGGAGGAACACCGAUGGCGAAGGCAGCUCGCUGGGACGGUACUGACGCUGAGGCGCGAAAGCAUGGGUAGCGAACAGG
rnacentral:rRNA from 1 species